GAUGAACGCUGGCGGCGUGCCUUAAGCAUGCAAGUCGAACGGGUGUAGCAAUACAUCAGUGGCAGACGGGUGAGUAACACGUGGGAACCUUCCUAGAGGUACGGAACAACUCAGGGAAACUUGAGCUAAUACCGUAUAAGCUCUUGCGAGGAAAGAUUUAUCGCCUUUAGACGGGCCCGCGUAGGAUUAGGUAGUUGGUGGGGUAAUGGCCUACCAAGCCUACGAUCCUUAGCUGAUCUGAGAGGAUGAUCAGCCACACUGGGACUGAGACACGGCCCAGACUCCUACGGGAGGCAGCAGUGGGGAAUCUUGGACAAUGGGCGCAAGCCUGAUCCAGCCAUGCCGCGUGAGUGAAGAAGGCCUUCGGGUUGUAAAGCUCUUUUACCAGGGACGAUAAUGACGGAACCUGGAGAAUAAGCCCCGGCAAACUUCGUGCCAGCAGCCGCGGUAACAC
rnacentral:rRNA from 1 species